AUUCUAUGGUCUUAUGAACAAUGGCCAAAACUGUAGUGAACCUAUGGUUAUAAAUCAUCAAAUUGACGGGAAACCCCUAAAGAAAUCUUAACUAAGUAAGUAUGGUAACAUAACUUAUGGCACAGGUAAUGACUCGUGGUAUAGUAAAAUCAAGAUUUAUAGUUUAAUGGGCAAUCCGCAGCCAAGUACCAAAUAUAAAAUAUUUGGUAUGCAGUUCAUCGACUAAACGGUGGUUGGUAUUGUUAUUAUUAAUAAUGCUUAAGAUAUAGUCAGACCCCUCCUGAAAAGGUGCA
rfam:Pyrenophora tritici-repentis Pt-1C-BFP supercont1.48 mitochondrial scaffold, whole genome shotgun sequence.